rnacentral:sRNA from 1 species
UAUUAAAUAAUAAAAACGUUUACAAAUCAUUGGAAAGGGAUGUGUAAUGUGGGCACAAUUAUUUGUAAAUCAUGUAUGAACACAAUCGAGUAUUUUGAGGACGAAAAAGUUUCUGUUGCUUAUUCAUAUUGCGGCUGUGAAGAAGAAACUGAGUUGGACGACUGAUUAAAUAAACAUAUGACAGAUACAAGAAACCCGGAAGCGGCUGCUUCCGGGUUUCUU